AACGAACGCUGGCGGCAGGCUUAACACAUGCAAGUCGAACGCCCCGCAAGGGGAGUGGCAGACGGGUGAGGAACACGUGGGAAUAUGCCUUUUGGUACGGAACAACUUUUGGAAACGAAAGCUAAUACCGGUAUGGUCCCUUCGGGGUAAAGAUUUAUCGCCAAAAGAUUAGCCCGCGUUGGAUUAGCUAGUUGGUAGGA
rnacentral:rRNA from 1 species